GACGAACGCUGGCGGCGUGCUUAACACAUGCAAGUCGAACGGUGAAGCGCCUUCCUUUUUGGUGGGUGUGGAUGAGUGGCGAACGGGUGAGUAACACGUGAGUAACCUGCUCCCUUCUUCUGGAUAACCGCAUGAAAGUGUGGCAAAUACGGGAUAUUCUGGGUCUGUCGCAUGAUGGGUCUGGGAAAGAUAUUGUUUCGGUGGGGGAUGGGCUCGCGGCCUAUCAGCUUGUUGGUGGGGUGAUGGCCUACCAAGGCGGUGACGGGUAGCCGGCCUGAGAGGGUGGCCGGCCGCACGGGGACUGGGACACGGCCCAGACUACUACGGGAGGCAGCUGUGGGGGGUGGUGCAAAAUGGGAGGAAGGCUGAAGCGGCGCCGGCGCGGGAGAGAAGGAGGGCGGCGGGUUGUGAACCUCUUUCGCCAGUGAAGCAGGCCUGCCUGGUUUGUGGGUGGGUUGACGGUAGCUGGAUAAGAAGCGCCGGCUAACUACGUG
rnacentral:rRNA from 1 species